rnacentral:lncRNA from 1 species
AGCAAUGAGAGCACAGGAGCCUGGGCCCCACUUCCCACCUUGCACCUGCUGUGGGAGGCCAUAUCAAUAGCUGUCUCCUUUAAGCCACUGUGUUCUGCAUCUCUGAUGUAGCAGCUGAGCUUACAUCCUUCCACUGUGAUGAGGAACUCAGAGGUCAGCUGGAAUUCAUGGGUGCGUGGCCUCGAACUGCCCCAAAAUGCAUUGGUCCAUGAGAAUCCAGAGUGACACCAACACCCAGGCGCUUGUGAUUCCUGGACCCCGUGAGCCCAGCUUCCUCUCAUGCCACUCUGGCCCGCACCACACCAUGCCCUCAAGUUCCCACAACAGUAACAACAACCCAGGGGACGUAGGUGGACUGAACUGACUUGAGCGAAAGAGAUUGGCUGAGUGCCUGGGUGGAGCAGGGCCAGUGACUCUCACACAGACUUUGUGAGAGACCUGGCUGGACCCCCAUGUCUCCUUCUCUCCACCCCAGGAGCCCAUUUUCCCCCAGCUGCCUGUGACAGCCAUGGAAUGCCCCUUGCGGCCCUCAACUCACACCAAGGAGCCCUGCCACAUCUGUAUGGCAGGAAAUUGAAAGGAGCCAUCCCUGGCAGACCAGAACUCCUCUAUCUUUGGAAAAUGUGGUACUCUUUCCUGACUUUCCACCAUUCAAUCUGUUCAAUCACUUUCUAUUUUUGCUGAAAUGUCUCUUGGUCUUCCAAAAGGCAGGAAUUUCUUCUUGGUCUCUCGACUGUUAAAUUGGUUCUAUUUAGCAUCUUCCUGGCAGUCAGGAGUGGUCUGAUUCCUGAGCUCAUUUUACCAGGGAGUUGCCUUUGGCUGCAAAUGAUUCACACCUUUUGAAGUAAUCAGAAGUAAUGAAAGAUCUUUUUUUUUUUUUUUUUAAUGGUUUUCUGACUGUGAUAAAGAUAACCUCUAAGUUCUCUUCCAGCUUAAUGUCUGACCUUGGGAACACAAACUAGGUGUCUGGUCACAGUAGCCUGGGCUUUGCCUCUAGGGGGUUCCUCUCUGGGCUUCAGAAUCUCAAUCCAAAAAUUGAUGGGGGUUGGGGUGGGCCAGAUCUAGGAUAUCAGAUCAUUUCAGUAAAGUGGCUGAGGCUGCCUGGAGAAAUAUGCUAAGACGGGCUCAGAAGGUCAUUAGGGAAAAGUGCUGUGAUCUAUUGGUAAUGUCUGCCAAGGCCGUGAGAGAGGCAAAUGGUAAGGACACAUUUUGUUGACUCGGGGCUAGACGAUCCUGAAGAGCCUUCUAGCUCUGUAACCCUGUCUGGCUCUCAUUUUCUCCUUCCCCACAGUUUAUGCUGAGAUUUUUAAGAGGCAGUCUAGUGCAGUUAAGAAAGUGGCCUCUGAUGGACCUGGUAGCUGUAUGACCUUGGGCUUGUGUUUCUUCAAAUACAAACAAUAAUGUUUUGCUGCUAGAAUUUCCCCUUGAAUAUAGAGCCAGAGUGAAAUCUUAUCUAUAUCCCUUUAUAAAUGAGUCUGUCCUGCUUUGUGCUUUAGAGAUGAAUAUAGACAUGGAUAUGGAUAUGGACAUAUAGAUAAGAAUAGUUUGCGUAGCUACAUAUAACACCAUAUACAUAUAGAAAUAUAUAUCCGUGCAUCCUCAUAUGUCUAUAAAGUGUGCCUAAUGCAUGCUAAUUCAUUCAUUCAGUCACUCAACACACAUAGAUGUUGCACAGCUACUAGGUGCCGGGCACUGUUGGGUGCUGAAGAUACAGCACAAGAACCAGACAGUAAGUCUCUGACUUCCUCAAGGAGUUUUUAUUCUAGGAAGAGAGCAAGACAAUAAGCAAAUGAGUAAAACUGUUUCCUGUACAUAAAGGUAGAAGCCUGCAGGAGGUGAGGGAACAGCACCCCAGGCAGAAAGAAUAGCAACUGCAAAGGCUCUAAAGCAGAAAUGAACUUGGCAGGUUCAAGGGACAGCACAAUGGCCAGAGUGGAAGGGACAUGUUGGCCAAGGGAAAGCAUCAUGGGAGAGAGGAUGAGAGGUCAGAGAGGCCAAGUCCUGAAGGGCUUUGUCACAGGUGAAGGUGUGGUUUGUGCCCUGAGUGGGAUGGAGGCUACUAGGAUUCUAAGCAGGGGAGGAACUUAGGUUUUAAAGGACCCUCUGGUUGCUGUGUGGCUAGAGAGUGUCUGAGGUUGGGAGGGAACACAGCAAGGUGGGGAGCCAGGAGCUGGAUCGAGAGGCUUUUGUAACAGCAAAGGGCAACAGGGGAUGGCGCCUCUGGCAGGGAUGGUGAAAGUGGGGAUGGGGAGAAGUGGCCAACUCACUGAUGGAGUUUGAAGAUGGAGCUCAAGGAAUUUAGGGACGGAUUUGGUCUCAGAGUGAGGGAAAGAGGACUCCCAGGUAACACCCACAUUUUUGGCCUUGAGCAGCUGAUGAAAGGUGGAACCCAUUUACUAAGAAGGGAGGAGUAGGCAUGGGGCAAGGGGAUCAGGGUCCUGCUUGGACAAGUUAAGGUGCUCACUAGACCUGUAUUGGGGAGCCCAGAGCUGGAGAUAGAAAUUAGAUAUUAGUUGCUAAUACGUAUUUUAGGACUAUGCGCCAGAGCCAAGACUCAGCAUUUUGUAAGUUAAUACUCUGCUUUAAUCCCAUAAAAACAUUGUUGAACAAAUAACAUUUUUUAUUGCGUCAAAAACUCUCUUAGUUGUAUAGUCAUGUUCUGAUUUGAGAUCUGAUAGAAUGUGAAAAAUUGUGCAUCUUAGGAUUGAUGAGGUGUGGUCAUGUUGUUCCCGUUUUUCAGAUGAGGAAACUGAGGCUUAACUAGCUGGCUCAGGAUUUCAAAGCCAGUAACUGGCAGAGUUGGGCUUCCUGUUCUUGCCCUUUUUUUGUUACUUCUCCUGAUGCAUGUCAACUGCUUAGCAGGGUGACUGGCUCAUAGUCAGCCCCCUUAACGUGGUCACGAUUAUCAGCUGUUUAAUGCAUUGGAUCAUAGACACAUAUGUUCUGCGGGAUGCCAUGCAAUAGAAGUAAUGCACAAUGUACACACUGUACAAAGGUCAGGAGCGUAAAAAUAUCUUGGGGCUGAAAACACACAUUUGGGUGUAUGAUUGUGCAUCUUUUCAGACCAAACUCCUCUGGGCUUAAAUUUUGCAUGUAUUAAAGCAGGAAAAAAGACAUCAACUGUACUUCAAUGAAAAAAAAAAAAA